rnacentral:lncRNA from 1 species
AAUUUAACCCCUUUGAUGCUAUUAUUUGCUUUAUAUAUGUGUUUUUCUGAAUGGAACACAUUGGGUCAUGGGAGAACAACAGGAAAGCAGCUCUUGAGGCUGAACUAAAACAAAUUGAGGUAAUUAGAAAAUAAAAUAUAUGUAAUGUGUUUAAGUUUUAUUUGUAUAGUAUGUAGAUGCUAUUUACGAUUUUAGUUCUAGAAUUUUAGAAAAAUUCAUUAAAUAUAAACUCACAACCUCAGUGAAGAUUCCAAAAUCUGUAAUUCGAUAUUUCUCUUCAUUGACGGAACUGCUCUUUACAACUAUGUUUUUUUUUUUUUUUUGUCGAUUUCAUUUGGAUUGAUUUUGUAAUGAGAGCAUGAAAAAUUUGAGAAGAAGAAGGGUGAGUAUAUAGAGAAAAUGAAGAACAAAAUAGCAUUGAUACACAAAACAACAUAAGAAAAUAAGGUUGUUAAUUGAAGCAAAGCAUAGAGAAGAAAGGCUGAAGGCAAAGGCAGAGGAAAUUGCUGCCAAACACAGAGCUACUGGAACUGCUCCUAAGAAGAUUUUCAAUUGUUUCUAAUUUUAAAUUAAACCAUAUAUGUUUACAAUAAUUUUAAAGCUGAAAUGUGCUUGAUUUUCUGUAAUGGUAUGCUCUUGUUUCCAUUUCUUAUUGACUUGUUAAAAGUUAAGAUGUUCAAAAAGCUAACCACAAAAGUUCUUAUAUUAGAUAUUUUUUAUCUCUGACAGACUAUCGGUUCCAAUUUGUAGGAACGGUGUAUUUAGGUACUUUAGAACCUCAACUACCUUCAAGUAGAUUGUACAUUGUAAGGAAAUCAUAGUAAGGUAUCCAUAAACAAUAUUCAUCUCUAUACAUUGAAUCUAGGAGAAGAAUUUGUGCAUGUCAUCAUACUCGGGUGUAUAAAGAUUCAGAAUUCAUUUAGAAGUUUUAGUUUUCUUAUUGUAAACAUAUUACGUUGCAUAUCUACAUUUGUGCUUAUUAUUUUGCAUGAUCUUAAACGUCCAAAUCCAAUCACUAAAGUUUGAUUACAUGAUGAAAAUGUGAUUCAGCCUUCAGAUGUAUGAUCAUAGAGAAUUGGGAAGCAUCCAAUAGAAAUGGAGCACGUCAGACAAUAAAGGUAUAUAUCUUAUGAAGGCUAACAACUCAAGAGGAUACCUCUAAUGUUAACAUGUAAAGAAGAUAAGAACAAUCUAACGAUAUAGUUAACAGGUAAUAUUUAUUUCAAAGUAUAUACUCUUACAACUUUAGUUUGUUGAAGUUAUUGGCUUUCCAUUUUUCACUCUUUGAUGAUUUGUCAUUAUUCAAUUUUAGUGGUUAUAUAUGCUAAAACAAACUAUUGAACUGUUGCUUUACGAAACAAGAUAAAUACUUGAAAACAAUCGAUCGAUACCAACAAUAUACCUGCUAGGAUGCUACAAUUUUUUUUUUAUCAUGGAUAGUAUGCUUAUACCGGUUGACUAUUGCUACUUGUGUAAAUUGCCAUGGGUGUUAUGUCUAUACUUAUUGCUAUUGCUAAAUUGCUACUUGUGUAAAUUCUCAUGGAUUUUAUGUUUGUACUCAUUGGUAGAGCUUUUUUUAAAACAAUCCAUAACAUUUUUUUUUUAAUCAUGGAUAGUAUGUUUAUACCGGUUGACUAUUGCUACUUGUGUAAAUUGUAAUGGGUGUUAUGUCUAUACUUAUUGCUAUUGCUAAAUUGCUACUUGUGUAAAUUGUUAUGGAUUUUAUGUUUGUAAAAAUUUUUAUAAGAAACUAGGAGACCUUUAAUUUUUGUCAAGCCAUAAAUGAUACAAGUUGUUCUAGUUUCAUUUUCCUAGUACCUUAAUAUUUCUUGGCUUCAUUAACUGAAGUGGAUUGCAAAUGAAAACUGUCUUCUUUCUGAUAUUUGUAGAUUUGAAAGUGUUUGACUCCUUAAGAUGGAAACUUUUCGGUUCUUGUUGGAUAACGUUUCUUCCAACCUUAGUUUCAUUCAUCUUGAUUAUUACUUAUGAUUACUUAUUCAAUAAUUUUCUUGUUGCUUACUUAUUUAUAUCCAGCUAAAUUUUCUAAAGAGUAAUGAUACAAGAGCUGUAAUUUGUAAAAAGUUCCAAUACUGUAGACCAAGUGGAUGUUAAGGUGAUGCUGUUAUUCUACAUGUGUGCUAUGCUAUGUAGUUGUUUCUCUUAUCGACGUAUGUGGUGAUAGAUAAUGCUCAAUGUUGAAAUUUUCUAUAAGAGUUGUACUCUCUUGUUCUAUGAUGAAUGCUAAUAUUCAUAUUGUCUUUGUAGGUUCAACUGGAGUCGACAACUUCAUGGGUUUACUUUCAAAGUACAUUUUCAGAGACGAACAUUCUCGAUUGGUCGUUUAUGCUUUAGCAGAAAAUCUUUUUAUAUGUAUUUUGAUGUUGUUUAAUAUAUUUUUUUAUUAAGGGCUGAAAUUCCGUACUUGUAAAUUGUUGGAACUUGAUUGGAAAUGUACGAAUAUUAUAAAUUGUAUUAUAGCGUAUAUAUAUUAAAGUGUCGGC